rnacentral:ncRNA from 2 species
GGACCCUCCUCUGGAGAGACCUCCCUUGCGGAGGCGCCGAAGGGGUAAGGCCUUAAGCCUUAAGGUGAAGGCCUAAUCUCUCAGGUCAAAAGACAGAGGCCCACAC